rnacentral:lncRNA from 1 species
CGGCAACGGCCACCAGGGAGAUCGUCGACAGGAUCCGAAGGUAGCCACCCUCUUCCGGCGGACGCGCUGACAGGAGCCGAAGGCCAGAGCGCGGGGGCGGCGGCCCUAGAACUUGGUCCCUCUCCUUACGUUGUAUUUUACUUAACUUAGUUUAUCUCUUUUACUUCUCCUCACACCCGGUCUCACUACUAACCUGGUGGCCUCCUUGCACUAUAAGGGAGAACCGGGGGCCCUGAGACGAAAGACUCUCGGAG